rnacentral:lncRNA from 1 species
UUAGAUAAUAAUAAAAUAAAGAAAUCAUAGCAUGCUUGUUAUCUAAUUAGCAUAACAAAAAUAAUCAAAGUAUACGAAAUCAUCAAUUAUCGCACACAUCUUGUGUAUAAUUCCUAAAAAAAAAUAUAGAUAUGAUUUCGAUAAAUGGCAAGGGUGGCAGCAAAGAUGGGUUUUGAAAAGAUAAUUUUAUGUAGGGGUUUCACCAAUUCCCCAAUUGAUAUACACAAAUCUAGCCUGGAAUUAUCCCAU